CACCGUGGUGCUCACCAUCCACCAGCCGUCCUCGCGCAUCCUGCUGCUGCUGGACCACCUCAUCAUCCUGGCGCGCGGGCAGCUCAUGUACAGCGGUGGGCCCAAGGAGGUGACCGCGCACCUUGGCCGCAUGGGGCGCAAGGUGCCCAAGGGGGAGAGCUCCAUCGAGCACCUCCUGGACGUCAUCCAGGAGUACGAGCAGUCGGAGUUCGGCGUGAAGGCGCUGGCCGAGUUCUGCCUCACCGGCCUGAAGCCGCCCAAGCUCACCGCCACCUACGGGGCCGAGGGGCUGUCCACCGUGUCCAGCAUCGUCCAGACGCCAAUCUCGGGUCCCGGCGGCGGCGACGACGACGACUUCGAUCGCAGCCUGAGGAGCCAGCACUCCAAGUCUCCGUGGAGCGGCGUGCGCCUGACGCCGUCCCGGCGCCCCAGGCACAAGGACCAGCAACACGGGAGGCCAGGCCCCGGCCCCGGCCCCGGCAACCACAGGUACACGCCGGACAUCGUGAUGGGAACGCCGACGCCGCUGAGCAGCGCGUACACGGUGAACGAGGACGACUACCUGACGCCGACGCACCGCGCGGCCCCGAACGCGACGGGCGCCCCCGGGGUGGGCGUCAACGCGCUGGGGCACAGGGGCAAGUUCGCCAACUCGUACGUCGGGGAGGUGUGGGUGCUGAUGCGGCGCAACUUCACCAACAUCUGGCGCACGCCGGAGCUGUUCCUGUCGCGGCUGAUGGUGCUGACGGUGAUGGGGUUCCUGAUGGCCACCAUGUUCACCAAGCCCAAGGACAACGCGCAGGGCAUCACCAACCGCCUCAGCUUCUUCAUCUUCACCGUCUGCGUCUUCUUCUUCUCCUCCAACGACGCCGUGCCGGCCUUCAUCCAGGAGCGCUUCAUCUUCAUCAGGGAGACGUCGCACAACGCGUACCGCGCCUCCGCCUACGUCGUCGCGGGGCUCAUCACCUACCUCCCCUUCCUCCUGCUCCAGUCGGCCACCUACGCCGCCAUCGUCUGGUUCGCGCUCAAGCUCCACGGCCAGUUCCUCUACUUCCUCGUCAUGCUCUACGCGUCGCUGCUGUCCACCAACUCCUUCGUCGUCUUCAUCAGCUCCGUCGUGCCAAACUUCAUCCUUGGCUACGCUGCGGUGAUCGCGUUCACGGCGCUCUUCUUCCUCUUCUGCGGCUACUUCCUGGACAGCCACAGCAUCCCGGUGGCGUGGAAGUGGAUGAACACCGUCUCGACGAUGAAGUACCCGUACGAGGGCCUGCUGAUGAACGAGUUCGACGGGGACCGGGUGUUCGCCUCGGACCCCGCCGUCGGGCUGACCCUGACCGGCAACAACAUCCUGCAGCAGCUGGGCAUCAGCGUGGAGGAGGACCGCAAGUGGUGGAUGGUGCUCUACCUCCUCGGCUGGGCCGUCUUCUACCGCGUCCUCUUCUACCUCGUCCUCCGCUUCGCCUCCAAGAACAAGAGGAAGUAGCGUGUGUCUUCGUUAAUUAAUUAAUUGUUGUUUCAGCCCUCGAUUGGUGCGUAUGGUAUGUGUAGGGCCUGGAUGUACGAGGAGAGAAGGUGUAUUUUUAUUUCUUGAAGCGACAAGGCAGCAAGGCGCCGGCCGGAAAGCCGGGUUGAUUUGAUUAUAUAUGUAUGCCACGAUUGAUUCCCAAUGUUAACUACUAUACCCCGGUCCUCCCC
rnacentral:misc_RNA from 1 species